GGUACUUUGAUGCAAAACAUAGUUGAUGGAGACUAUAAUUCUCUGGGAAGGAAAUGGAAACUUUUUGUGGUUUAGUGUCUCUGCAUUAUACUGUAACCUCUAACACCUUUAUGCAUGACAAACACAAUGGCGAAAGUCUUUUUCUUCUUCUGUGUAUUUUCUAAUAGGAUUAUGCCUUUCUCAUCCAAUGAUGCGUCAGUACGAGGGUCUUCUGAUCUGCUGAGAGUUCAGAUGGGAGAAAACAUCAGACUGAACUGCAGCAUGAGAAACAGAUAUGAAGUCGCCUGGUAUCGCCUCAGAUCUGGAGAACUGGAUCUACUGAUUGCAGCAGAGAAAGACAAAACGGGAAGAAAACUUCUGACGAACUACAAUAAAAACAGUGCUUUGGUGAAAAUGACUGCGGACACAUGGGUCACCAGAGCCACGCUAGAGAUUUCUAGAGUAACAGAGUCAGAUUCAGGUCUUUAUUUCUGUGGAACAAAGUCUGAUGCUCCAGAGAUGUUCUUCGACAAACCCAUCAGACUAGAGAUCGAGGGUCUCAUUGUAGUACAAGAGACAAAAGAAGUUGACAACACAGACGGGGUGACGCUGACGGAGCGUGUGCUGAUGUUUGGUGGUGUUGGUCUGGCUGUGGUUGUGUUUUUUCUGGCUACAGUCAUUGUGGGAGGAAUCAUUCACCAUCGCGGUUGGCAGAAAGGAUGGAGCGCAGCCAAACAUUCAUCUAGGAUUCAUCACAAAUCAGCUAAAUAACUUCUACUUCUGCUUCAUUUUAAUAGUCUAACUCAACAUAUCCCUGAGCUUUGCUUUGUUGUAUCAUGAAUUAAAGCAGAAAACUGUGGCUCAGAUGCUUUUCCUGUUGAUCACAUUUACUUUCACUUUAGAAAAGCUGAGAUGUUGCUGCAAAUGUUUUUUUCAGCACCAGUAAAAAUGACAAAAUCAUUAACUGUUGUUUUUAAUAUUCAGCCUUGUGCGGUUCAUUUGUGGUUGUCACAUUUAGCUAAAAAUAAAAACACUGUCAAUGCUAUUCUUUUUAAUGCA
ensembl:lncRNA